AGCGAACAUUGGCGGUAGGCUUAACACAUGCAAGUCGAGCGAGGCGUAAUAGUCGAGCGACGAACGGGUGCGUAAUACAUGGGAAUCUACCCUGAAGUGGGGGAUAACGUUCAGAAAUGGACGCUAAUACCGCAUAAUCCACAUUGGGAAAGCGUUGCAGCGCUUUAGGAUGAGCCCAUGGCUGAUUAGCUAGUUGGUGAGGUAAUGGCUCACCAAGGCGACGAUCAGUAGCUGGUCUGAGAGGAUGACCAGCCACACUGGAACUGAGACACGGUCCAGACUCCUACGGGAGGCAGCAGUGGGGAAUCUUGCGCAAUGGGGGCAACCCUGACGCAGCCAUACCGCGUGAGUGAUGAAGGUCUUCGGAUUGUAAAGCUCUUUCGGCGGGGACGACGAUGACGGUACCCGCAAAAGAAGUCACGGCUAACUUCGUGCCAGCCGCCGCAGUAA
rnacentral:rRNA from 1 species